rnacentral:tRNA from 1 species
UAUGCCGUGGCUCAGCUGGCAGAGUGGGUGACUUGUGUUCAGUGAGUUCAGCUGGUUCAAGUCCCGCCGGCACCU